GGAAGCAAAAGUCGUAACAAGGUCUCCGUAGGUGAACCUGCGGAGGGAUCAUUACAGAGUUCAUGCCCUAACGGGUAGAUCUCCCACCCUAUGUUAUCAUCACUUUGUUGCUUUGGCGGGCCGUCAGGCCUCGGCUUGGCUACCGGCUCUCGCUGGUAAGCGCCCGCCAGAGAACCCCAAACCCUGAAUAUCAGUGUCGUCUGAGUACUAUAUAAUAGUUAAAACUUUCAACAACGGAUCUCUUGGUUCUG
rnacentral:misc_RNA from 1 species